rnacentral:tRNA from 1 species
ACCUCUUUAGCUCAGUUGGUAGAGCAACGCACCUUUAAUGCGUGGGGCGCAGGUUCAAGUCCUGCAGGGGGUA